rnacentral:rRNA from 1 species
GAUGAACGCUGGCGGCGUGCCUAAUACAUGCAAGUCGAGCGAACGGACGGGAAGCUUGCUUCUCUGAUGUUAGCGGCGGACGGGUGAGUAACACGUGGAUAACCUACCUAUAAGACUGGGAUAACUUCGGGAAACCGGAGCUAAUACCGGAUAAUAUUUUGAACCGCAUGGUUCAAAAGUGAAAGACGGUCUUGCUGUCACUUAUAGAUGGAUCCGCGCUGCAUUAGCUAGUUGGUAAGGUAACGGCUUACCAAGGCAACGAUGCAUAGCCGACCUGAGAGGGUGAUCGGCCACACUGGAACUGAGACACGGUCCAGACUCCUACGGGAGGCAGCAGUAGGGAAUCUUCCGCAAUGGGCGAAAGCCUGACGGAGCAACGCCGCGUGAGUGAUGAAGGUCUUCGGAUCGUAAAACUCUGUUAUUAGGGAAGAACACAUGUGUAAGUAACUGUGCACAUCUUGACGGUACCUAAUCAGAAAGCCACGGCUAACUACGUG